GACGAACCGAGCGAACGUUGUUCGGAAUCACUGGGCUUAAAGGGCGCGUAGGCGGGCGAUCAAGUCAGGGGUGAAAGCCCCCAGCUCAACUGGGGAAGUGCCUCUGAUACUGAUCGUCUCGAGGGGGAUAGGGGCGUGCGGAACUUCCGGUGGAGCGGUGGAAUGCGUAGAUAUCGGAAGGAACACCGGUGGCGAAAGCGGCGCGCUGGAUCCCUUCUGACGCUGAGGCGCGAAAGCCAGGGGAGCGAACGGG
rnacentral:rRNA from 1 species